GACGAACGCUGGCGGCGUGCUUAACACAUGCAAGUCGAACGGAAAGGCCCUGCUUUUGUGGGGUGCUCGAGUGGCGAACGGGUGAGUAACACGUGAGUAACCUGCCCUUGACUUUGGGAUAACUUCAGGAAACUGGGGCUAAUACCGGAUAGGAGCUCCUGCUGCAUGGUGGGGGUUGGAAAGUUUCGGCGGUUGGGGAUGGACUCGCGGCUUAUCAGCUUGUUGGCGGGGUAGUGGCUUACCAAGGCUUUGACGGGUAGCCGGCCUGAGAGGGUGACCGGCCACAUUGGGACUGAGAUACGGCCCAGACUCCAACGGGAGGCAGCAGUGGGGAAUAUUGCACAAUGGGCGGAAGCCUGAUGCAGCAACGCCGCGUGCGGGAUGACGGCCUUCGGGUUGUAAACCGCUUUCGCCUGUGACGAAGCGUGAGUGACGGUAAUGGGUAAAGAAGCACCGGCUAACUACGUG
rnacentral:rRNA from 1 species